rnacentral:lncRNA from 1 species
GAUAGAGUUUCAACACCGAAAAAGAUCCCAACAAUGAGGGGUGUGAGCAUGACAAGUGCACCAGGUGGGAUCAUCUCCUUGAUAGAUGCAUCAGUGGAGAUCUUAACACAGGUGGCAUAGUCAGGCUUGGCAGUGCCUUCCAUCAAGCCAGGGAUGGUGUUGAAUUGCCUGCGAACUUCCUCAACCAUCUUAAGUGCUGCACUUCCCACGCUCUUCAUUGUCAUGGCAGAGAACCAGUAAGGAAGCAUUGCACCCACAAUCAAACCAAUGAAAACUUUUGGAGUCAAUACAUCGACUGUU